rnacentral:rRNA from 1 species
AUUGAACGCUGGCGGCAUGCCUUACACAUGCAAGUCGAACGGCAGCACGGGAGCAAUCCUGGUGGCGAGUGGCGAACGGGUGAGUAAUAUAUCGGAACGUGCCCAGUCGUGGGGAUAACGUAGCGAAAGCUACGCUAAUACCGCAUACGAUCUACGGAUGAAAGCGGGGGAUCGCAAGACCUCGCGCGAUUGGAGCGGCCGAUAUCAGAUUAGGUAGUUGGUGAGGUAAAGGCUCACCAAGCCGACGAUCUGUAGCUGGUCUGAGAGGACGACCAGCCACACUGGGACUGAGACACGGCCCAGACUCCUACGGGAGGCAGCAGUGGGGAAUUUUUGGGACAAUGGGCGCAAGCCUGAUCCAGCAAUGCCGCGUGCAGGAUGAAGGCCUCGGUUGUAAC